rnacentral:rRNA from 1 species
UGGGGAAUAUUGGACAAUGGGGGCAACCCUGAUCCAGCGAUGCCGCGUGAGUGAAGAAGGCCUUCGGGUCGUAAAGCUCUUUAGGUUGGGAAGAAGUGUAUUAGGUUCAUAGCCUAGUAUGUUGACGGUACCGACAGAAUAAGCACCGGCAAACUCUGUGCCAGCAGCCGCGGUAAUACAGAGGGUGCAAGCGUUAAUCGGAGUUACUGGGCGUAAAGGGCGCGUAGGCGGUUAUAUGUGUGUGAUGUGAAAGCCCCGGGCUUAACCUGGGAAGUGCAUCGCAAACUGUAUAGCUAGAGUAUAUGAGAGGGUGGCGGAAUUUCCGGUGUAGCGGUGAAAUGCGUAGAGAUCGGAAGGAACGUCAAUGGCGAAGGCAGCCACCUGGCAUAAUACUGACGCUGAGGCGCGAAAGCGUGGGGAGCGAACAGG